rnacentral:lncRNA from 1 species
UCGUGGGAACUUGGCUUCUCCCCUGUUCUCCCCGGAUCUUGGAACCGGACCCCCCAAAGCUUGCCUUUUCUCCGUGUGAAGAUCCCUCCUUUUAUAGCUUCACCAACCCCUCAAUUUCCCUCCCUGGAUAAGAUCUUCCGAAUGGGAAGAUAAGGGCGGAGAAGCGGCGGAUGCGGGAUAAAGUUGGAGCUGAUACGGGAGUUGGGAAAAAGAUGAGCUCUUGAUAUGAAUCCAGGGAAUGAAACGAAGGAGCCGAGCUUCUUCAACGCGUGGAAGGAUUCUUGGACGUAGCUGGGAUGCGGUGCGGAAGAUUUGAGCCGAUCCGGACGUUGGAAGAGGCUGAGCUGGGAAGCUUGAUCCGUUGAUUGCUGGUCCCUUGAAGUUCGCCGAACGGCUGGAUUGGUUUGUUGAAGUCAGCUUAAUCCUCGGUUGCAGGGGAUGGCGUGGACGACAGGUUGAGCUUACAGCCGAGAUGGAGAUGCGGGAGGUUUGAAAUCGGUGGAUAUGGCUGAAAACAGAGGAUCUUUUGGAAUGAAUUUGAUAGACUGGUUCUCAUGGAAUG